rnacentral:rRNA from 1 species
AUUGAACGCUGGCGGCAGGCCUAACACAUGCAAGUCGAGCGGAUGAAGGGAGCUUGCUCCUGGAUUCAGCGGCGGACGGGUGAGUAAUGCCUAGGAAUCUGCCUGGUAGUGGGGGAUAACGUCCGGAAACGGGCGCUAAUACCGCAUACGUCCUGAGGGAGAAAGUGGGGGAUCUUCGGACCUCACGCUAUCAGAUGAGCCUAGGUCGGAUUAGCUAGUUGGUGGGGUAAAGGCCUACCAAGGCGACGAUCCGUAACUGGUCUGAGAGGAUGAUCAGUCACAUUGGAAGUGAGACACGCUCCAGACUCCUACGGGAGGCAGCAGUGGGGAAUAUUGGACAAUGGGCGAGAGCCUGAUACAGCCAUGCCGCGUGUGUGAAGAAGGUCUUGCGAGUGUAAAGCACUUUAAGUUGGGAGGAAGGGCAGUAAGUUAAUACCUUGCUGUUUUGACGUUACCAACAGAAUAAGCACCGGCUAACUUCGUG